rnacentral:rRNA from 1 species
UACGGGGGGGGCAAGCGUUGUUCGGAAUUACUGGGCGUAAGGGGGACGUAGGCGGCCAACUAAGUCCGACGUGAAAUCCCAAGGCUUAACCUUGGAACUGCGUCGGAUACUGGAUGGCUUGAAUUCGGGAGAGGGAUGCAGAAUUCCAGGUGUAGCGGUGAAAUGCGUAGAUAUCUGGAGGAAUACCAGUGGCGAAGGCGGCAUCCUGGACCGACAUUGACGCUGAAAGCCGAAAGCUAGGGGAGCAAACGGG